AAAACUCUUGCCUUUUUCAUAGUAUUAGGAAAAGAAUUUCUAAUUUACCUAGAGCAACAUUUCAAAUGUAUUUAAAUACAUAUAAUUUUACAAAAGAAAAAUAUAUAUUAAAAGAAAUCCUAUUUUGUAACAUAUAGAUUUUAUUUUAUAUGGGUUAUACAGACUGCAGAGGCAGAUAUGAAACAUAAGCCAGAGUUAUUUCUUUACUUUUUUCUAUCUUUCUUCUCAUGGAGGCACAAUAAAACACUUUAGCAAGAUAGUUUUAACAUAGAACCCACAAAAUUCUUUUAAAAUGUAAUAACUUACUUUAGAAUACAUUGUGGCUUAUCAUAUCCCUAAAGCUAGUAUUUCAAAGCAAACACACACAAAAAUGAAACUUCUAAAAACAAUUGAACAGAUCAACAAUUAAGAUUCUCUUCCUGUUUAGAUGUUGCACUAGUUGACCUCGCAGACCCUGUCUAGAAGCCAGGCAAGCCCAGCUUGGACCCAGAUCCAGGCAAGCUCGUCCACUCUGCUUCCCGGCGGCCUGCUUUCAACCAAAGGUUGAUAUUAGUUCUUGAAGUGUCUUUUCAAACCAUAUUCUUUUAUUAGAUCAUCUGGAUUAAUUAGGAAAAAGGGUGAAAAUAAAACCAAAUCAGCCCUAGCAAAGAGGGGUACAGCACACUCCUUAAGUGUGAUAAGCACAGAAUAUUAAACCCAGUCAUGGGAGUCGAGACCUCUGUAUGACAAGAAUGGCUUCCUCCCAGAUGCCAUUUUGCUACUGUCUGGGGAAAGGGUCGUUUGCAUCCCAGAUGCUCUCUUCUUCAAAUUCCUUCUCCAUCCCACACUUUAAAGUCUCUCCUGCUAGACUCCCUGCCCCCAGACCCCUAGUAAUGAAUUACUAUCCCAUGUGGCUCUUUUCCUUUCCUGAAAUGAGUUCCUCAUGCAAGCAAUUUCAAGGUAGCCUAAGAACUUCUUUUAUCUGCCUCCCAUCAAGACCCACAGUGACUAGAAUGUGCAGAGAUCGCUAAAAUUCAAAUCAAGAGUUUGAAAAUACGUUUCUUUCCCUGUAAACUGGAUGGAGAAUGAUCAACAGCUCCCAUGAUAACUUUAAGUCACAGAUGAACAGAUCUAAGUGCUGGUAGAACUAUGGACUUUUACAUGCAAAAGGCAAGUACCAGUCUGGAAGCAUUCUCCCACUCCAUAUGGAUGGGCAUUUUGGUACUCAGAAAGAUACAGGAACAGAAGAAAGAAGGCCCUGUCCCUAACUACCACAAAUCUUUACAACUUAGCCCAGACCUUAUUUGACUAGACAUACUGAUCCUCAGUAUGACUGUAGCUUUGGGCCCUUGCUGUCUAGACAGCCAAAAAGAAAACAACCUGUACACCAGAGUGUCAUGAAGUAGGUCAGCACUCCCUAAUGGACAGGCAUAACUUUCCUUUCUAGAACCUGGCUGCUGAGAGUAAAUAUGCAGCUGCCCAUCCAUCUUGUGCCUCAGGCCCACAGAUCUCACUUCCCGGGCAGAGACUCACUUAUCAAACCGAGUGUCCCGCUUAGAGAAGGCAGAAGGGCCUACUGUCUGAUAGAUGGAAAGCUUAGCCCUUGGGGGACAGACUUAGUAGCUCAAGCUGGCUUCUAGUUUGAUGAGAUGACAGAAUUUAAAAAGUUGUGUCCAUGCACUUUUUGCUAGUGAAUUGGAUCUCCAAUCCCCUUCUUCUCCAGAUUCUUCCUCAAAAUUUCUAGGAGCCUUGCUCGGGCAUGCAAAUCUUCUCAUCCUGUAUCCUAGAAAAGGAGGUACAUGCAUGCCCAGUACUUUAAUAGAUCCUCUACAGCAGCUCUGCCAUCCACUCAGGAGAGUGCUAAGGAAAAUGGGAUGAAAGAGUAAUAAUGGAGUAAUAAUGGAGGGAGACUAUAUUGAACGUUGGUCCAAAUCCCCAGUGCCAAUGGUCUCUAUCUGUGAUUUUUUUUUCUUUUUAAACAUUGGUUUCAGUUUUAAUCAGAAUUGAUAUGCUAAUUUUUAUUUAUAUAGCAAUAUUUCAUUUAUUAUUUAAAAUACUUGAAAAAAGUGCAGUAUGUGUUUAUCUAAGACUUCUAAGUGGUAUAGACUUCAUGUUCUGUCACAGGAUUUGAAGAAAGAAAAUCGUGUGUGUGUGUGUGUGUGUGUGUGUGUGUGUGUGUGUGUGUGUGAGUGUUGCCGUUAGUACAUUGUUAGUACUGUCUUGUCACCUCAGAUUGAGGUUGUGCACUUUAUAUUGAAUUGUGUGGUGUUGCAAAACAACAUGUGUUGCUGUAAAAACUUGCACAAUGUAUUACCAGUGUGUCUUCUUCUAUGUGGUAGUUGUAUUGAACUUUGAACUUUGAAAUUAUGAGAACUACAUUUGCAUCCAUUCCUGUCCUUGCCUCUCUUCUACCCUCACCCUUUCACCCAGUCCCAAGCUGUGUGCCCUCUCCAUUGGCUCUUAGAGAAAACAUAACCUCAACUAAGUCCCACCCUAAGAAAUCUCUUUGACAACUGUGUGAUGGCACACAAAAUGCUUCAUCUCUGAGGCCAGAGAAACCAAUUAUGGAGCGUCACAGGCUGCUGACAGUGCAGGUAUUGACUCUACAGGGUCUUGGAGAAGGUGCUGCUCCUCAGAACAUGGACAAAGGAUGCACAGGUGUAAAUAUAGUAACAGGACAAAGAAGCAAAAACAUCAAACCAGGUAUCAUCUUGCACGUGCUUUUCUGUUUUCAAGUGCUAAAUGCAAACACUGUGUAUUAAUUAGUUGUGUAUGCAAAGAUCUUGUUGCCAAAUGGUGUUUCUGAAUAAUGUCAACAUUUCCCCAGCACCACUACAUUAACUAAAGACAGAAAAAAUAAAAUAAAAACAAAUGUGGCAACCUAUGCUACCAAAUAUAAACUUGUGUAUGAUCAAAGUAUUUUACCUGUGUUUUCUCUCUAAACCCAAAUAAAUGUGUAAAUGU
rnacentral:lncRNA from 1 species